UCUCCUCGCUUCACCGCGCGCCCGGGCCGCAUUUUGCCGGCGUCACGUUCCCCUCUCGGCCCUCGUGGGCUCGGGGCGCCAGCGAUCCCGACGGAGGAAGCCCGGAUGGAAGGAGGAAAGAGAAGUGGGUGCCCGAGGCGGCAGCCCAGGGUCGAGAUGGGGACGCGCUGAGUGGACCAGGGUUGGGGGGCCCGGGUCGCCCCCCGAGGGUGUGUGUGGACGCCGGGCACCUGCAGAGGCGAGCAGGGCUCUUCGUGGCGCUCUCGGGGCCUGCGCCUGGCAGGGACUGUGGGCCGCUGUCGCCCCUCUACCCCAGUCUGACUCUGCCCUGGGUCUGUGGUGGAGGCUUGGUCACCAGCCGCCGCAGCAAGUGUCAGGGAGCAACUCUCAGCCAGGGGAGGCCCCAGCUCCCAGCCAGGGGAAGAGAUGAUUCCAGAAAGGACAGUCUGAGAGAUAGAAGGAGGAGGAAGGGGGAGAGGAACCGUGGGGGAAGGGAAGGAGGAGGAGGAGUGGGAGGAGGAAGAGCAGAGGGAAGACACAUGCCAGCCCUGCCCACCGGGAAGCCCCUGAUACACAGGAACCAGCUCCAGACCAAGGCCACCUGCCCCUGACCACAAGUUGAAUUUGUCACUCAAACUGCAGUGUUUCCCAACAUUCUAAUUAUUUGCGGAAGUGUUCCAUUUGGGGUAAUUCACAUAAAAUCCAGAGUUUUGGCUCUUCUGGGCUGAGUGGGCCCUGGCCCCCUCCCAUAGGUUGUGGCUCCCCUGGUCCUCCCUAUCCUCUGGAGCUGGCCCACCGCUCAGCGCUGGCCUUGCAGCCCUUACUAAAGGCCUUGAAAAUGCCUGGGUUCACCCCCUGAGUGAAUUAAAGGCCAGAGGGGCCUCAGAAGGGCACUGUGAGGGACAGAGGCUCGCCUGGGCAGUGCAGAAGCCAGCCACGUGUCCCUCCUUACAGGGGAUGAAAUGACCUGGGGAGGAAACCCCAGCCCUUCCCCGGAGGUUCCUGAGUAGGCGGCCAGUGCUGUGAGGUUUCACCACCUGCUGUCCCAAGCAAGCUUGAGUUGUGUGUGAGUCUGUGCAGUACCGUGCUGUACCUUAUGCUUCAGCUUCCCCACCCCUGCUGAGCUUGAUUUUUCCCUAAAUAUCAGCCUCCACGGCACCCCACAUUCGUUCAUGCCUUCUUGUCCCUGGGGCAAUGUGUGUGUUUCCUCGUCCCAAUUUCCAUCCCUUGGCAGUGAGGAGCCCAUCGUGCCAGGGGGCCCUGCCCUGCUUGUCCCUGGGAAGGAAUAAUGGGGCCUGGGUGUGACCUCAGAGCCCGGACCAGACUGUCCCAGUCCCAUGUCAGGGACACCCAGAUGCAGAUGCUGUCUGAGACCUGCUGCAGGGCGUGGGUGCUCCUCCCUGCCUGGAGGCUGUCCCUGGACAGUGACCCACCCACUGAGGACCAGGCCAGGUGCACCUAGAGCUGGGCACAGCAGCCUGUGGUGUUGCCUGUGGGUGGGGAGGGCCCCAGGUGUGCUUCUCCCGUAGCGGUCCUAAACUUCUGUCCCUGUGCACUGUGUCACCUGGAUCAUCCAGUAAAGUGAAAUUCAGCACUGUGCUCUCUCUGUGCUCUGGGUGACGGGACAGGGGGAGUGUGGGAGCGUGGGCCACACAUGUCCACAGUCUUGACUGUGGUUUGCCCAGAACACCUGGGAACUGUCCUGUCACUAGUUUAUAUACACUGUCCUUUGCUGCUUCAGGCUCCCUGCCUGACUUUCCCUACCCAGCAGUAUCAUUUCACCCCUUGCAGAUCUGAGCCAGCUUCCACUCCCACCCUUGACGCCUCCCCACUUCCAGCCUCAGGCCUCAGCCUCAGCUCAGAAGCCCCUGGACAUCCAUGGAGACCCUGCCCAGCCAAUCGCCACCAUAGCUUCCACCCAGAUACACUCUGUGAGGCCACAGCUGCAUGUACGCACCCCCCAGCCUCCACCCUUAGCCUGCGCCCUGGACCUCCGCCUCAGUCUUCCAUUCUAUCUGAGUUUUCUGCCUCCCUCCAUCCUGUGUCCCCCCACCACACAUGGCCGCCAGAGGCGUCCUCUCAGAAGUCACACCUGGGGUCUGUUCAACUGGGGUCUGUUCAACAACAUGCUUUGUUCAACUAGGUAAUCACACGGGGCAAAUUGGAUUUAAAUGUAAUUAAGAUUAAAUAAAAUUACACAUCCAUGUC